rnacentral:lncRNA from 1 species
AGAUCCCCAGCACCGGACACUGCAGGAAAACAAGAGGAGCAGCCAGCCUGCAGCCAUCCCUAGGUGGUGCACGCCGCCCUCCAGCCUGAGCCCUGCUCCCCCCGCCAGGAGAGUGCACAGCUCCUAGCUCCCAGGGCUGGCCUGGGGGAAGACACCAGGGCCAGCCUGCAGCAGCACAGCUGCAGGAAUGAAUGUCUGGUCAAACCAUAGAAGCUAAACCUGAACUGAAUCUUGUGGAUAAGAAACAUUGUGCAGUUCAUCUGCGAAAAUGCUUGCUACAGUUCAAUAAUGGAGGGAGGAAACAGCUGGUCUGCACAUUCGUGAGUGAACAGCAUUUAAUAAGCUUCCAGGGCACAAAAGAAGAAAUGAUGCAACUUGAGGUGAAUCUUGGUGAGGAAGCAAUCCAGCAUGGCAUGAAUCGCCUGCCACUAUCUGGAAAUCACUUGUGUGAGCGGGAGACAAGCUUUUGGAAAAUGGCUUCCAAAGCACUCUUCCUGCAGUGUGUGAGUUCCCCCUGCGUUUGGUCAAGCAUAACAGGUACUUUGAAUUGA